AUUGAACGCUGGCGGCAGGCCUAACACAUGCAAGUCGAGCGGAGCGGCGGACGGGUGAGUAAUGCCUAGGAAUCUGCCUGGGAGUGGGGGAUAACGUCCGGCAACGGGCGCUAAUACCGCAUACUCUCAACUUCACCUCGGUCGGAUUCGCUAGUUGGAGGGGUAAAGGCCUACCAAGGCGACGAUCCGUAACUGGUCUGAGAGGAUGAUCAGUCACACUGGAACUGAGACACGGUCCAGACUCCUACGGGAGGCAGCAGUGGGGAAUAUUGGACAAUGGGCGAAAGCCUGAUCCAGCCAUGCCGCGUGUGUGAAGAAGGUCUUCGGAUUGUAAAGCACUUUAAGUUGGGAGGCGUUACCAACAGAAUAAGCACCGGCUAACUUCGUGCCAGCAGCCGCGGUAAUUC
rnacentral:rRNA from 1 species